UGGUGGAGUGAUUUGUCUGGUUAAUUCCGUUAACGAACGAGACCUCGACCUGCUAAAUAGUACUGGUGAUUUUGAAUCGCCUGAACUUCUUAGAGGGACUCUCGGUGUGUAGCCGAUGGAAGUUCGAGGCAAUAACA
rnacentral:rRNA from 1 species